UACGCCAGACGCGCGUUUCGUCUACAAAAGACUCAUCAGUGACGCUCGAAUCAAAAAUGUUUAAAAGGCCAAAUAAAGUACGAAGUUGAAGAGCAUUGAGGACCGAAAAUUCCUAAAAGUUUUGCCAAAUACAGCUAAGGUAAUAUAAUCCUAAGAUAGAGAAGCCUUAGUAUUUCAAAAAAUCGAAGUUUUGUUAACAUUUAAUUUAUAAUUAUGAACAUAUCAAUGAUAACUCAAGUCAACAGAAGUGCUGACUACUGGGCUGGUGAUACC
rnacentral:lncRNA from 1 species